UACGAAGGGGGCUAGCGUUGUUCGGAAUUACUGGGCGUAAAGCGCGCGUAGGCGGUCUAUUAAGUCAGGGGUGAAAUCCCGGGGCUCAACCCCGGAACUGCCUUUGAUACUGGUAGUCUCGAGUCCGGAAGAGGUGAGUGGAAUUCCGAGUGUAGAGGUGAAAUUCGUAGAUAUUCGGAGGAACACCAGUGGCGAAGGCGGCUCACUGGUCCGGUACUGACGCUGAGGUGCGAAAGCGUGGGGAGCAAACAGG
rnacentral:rRNA from 1 species